AUUGAACGCUGGCGGCAGGCCUAACACAUGCAAGUCGAGCGGAUGAAGGGAGCUUGCUCCUGGAUUCAGCGGCGGACGGGUGAGUAAUGCCUAGGAAUCUGCCUGGUAGUGGGGGAUAACGUCCGGAAACGGGCGCUAAUACCGCAUACGUCCUGAGGGAGAAAGUGGGGGAUCUUCGGACCUCACGCUAUCAGAUGAGCCUAGGUCGGAUUAGCUAGUUGGUGGGGUAAAGGCCUACCAAGGCGACGAUCCGUAACUGGUCUGAGAGGAUGAUCAGUCACACUGGAACUGAGACACGGUCCAGACUCCUACGGGAGGCAGCAGUGGGGAAUAUUGGACAAUGGGCGAAAGCCUGAUCCAACCAUGCCGCGUGUGUGAAGAAGGUCUUCGGAUUGUAAUGCACUUUAAGUUGGGAGGAAGGGCAGUAAGUUAAUACCUUGCUGUUUUGACGUUACCAACAGAAUAAGCACCGGCUAACUUCGUG
rnacentral:rRNA from 1 species